rnacentral:lncRNA from 1 species
ACGUUGCAUUCAUGAAAAGCGUUUAUCUCUAAUACAAAAUUAUCAAAAAAAGUAGAAUGUUAAAGUAGAGAUUGAAAUUAAUUGAAAUAGUUAAAAUGAAGGAGUGAGGAUAAAAAUUAGAGUUUUAUUUAUGGAGAAUUAUAUACAAUCAAAAAUAAUAAGGAUCCCUUUUAAGUGAAUUCUAAUAAUGAAUCUCAUAAGUCAUAAGUAGAAGGUACGGAAACAAGCGUUCAUCAUACAAACAGUGAAAAAAUAAAAUUGUAACAUUAACCCAAUGAAUAAUUCGACCCUAAUGAAAGAGCAUUGAAAAAUUUUCAAUGGACUCAUUAUAUAUUAUUGUGAUGCCUGUUUUAAUGAUUAAAGUCCACGACCUUCAAUACUAACACCACUCUUUUUAGAUGAUUUACUACGAAUCGCCUUCAUCUUGGCCUUUAAUUUUCGCACUUGUUCGGUAUCAGCCGGCUUCAUUCGUCCCGCAAUAGUCAUGGCCGUAGGAUUGAGACGAACUCUGGGAGCAACCUGGUAUCUUGAAUCAAUGGAUCUGGGAAUAACAGUACGACCUGUACGGCUAGCUUGGGCAUCAUCAUUACUUUCAGCAGCAGCAAGGUCUCGACGACGGCGAGUUUGAAACACUUCAGGGUUAAAGGAGGCUACACCAACAGCACGAUCACGAUAAUUAGCACUUCUCUUUAUAAUGGGACGACUCCAUUCGCUAACAAGGUUGUCAGCUAUUCUCUUAAUAAAUGGCUCGGGCUUUUUCGAGAUAGUAUAAAACAAAACAAUACGACCUAUUUUACUUUCACGAAGAUGUUCUGUCUGGAUGGGCAAUUUUGUUAAAAUGUCCAUAAGAGAUCGUUGGAUAUUCAACGCUGGUAACGAACGAUCUGGUAAAGGUUCAAGCCACAUUCGAACGGAGUCAAGGACGUUAUUAUCCAGUAUAGUAUCGUAAAGAUGGGUCUUUCUAAGUACAGCAUCAACUAGUGGAAGCAUCUUUAACUUCUCAGUAGCCGGUAGUUGUUCCGAAUUCAAUUCAGCAUCACGAAGUGCAGCCAAGCGCAUUUGUUCGCGUAGACGAAGGACUUCAUCAUCAGCCAUCUGUUCAAGAUUGUCUUCAUUGGAUCGCUUCUUUGUUCGAGUUGGCUUAAGAACAGCGUCCAUUUGAAGAUCCAACUCUUUUUUUGCGGCUAGCGUGGGAUCCAAUUGCUUUUGUUCAGUCAAAACUUCUUCUUCAUUCUCCCCGAGCUCAUUUAAUUCAUCAUUGAGAGCAUCAACAGUCGAUGAACGCUUACCACGACGUCUACGUGGCUUUUGCUCUUUCCUAACCUUCCUUGGAACUUCAAGGUUUUCUUCAAUCGUAUUUGGCUCUUGCUUCUUCUUAAACGUAGGUAGAUUAUAAAUAGUAGGUUCCUCAGCUUCACGUCCGAUUUUGGAUUCGUCAAAGUUUUCAAAUUGAUUUUCAUCCAAAUCCGAUAAUUCAUCUUCAGAGAAAUCAAGGGCUUCUUCCUUAUUAUCUAAAUCUUCAUCCACAUGAGUUGUAACAUCAGCAACGUCUACUUUCGUAUCAAUGGUUUGAUCAUUCUCGGAAGUUUUUGCCUCAGAUUCAACUUGCAUAUUUUCAAGCUCAGCCUUUUCUUCUUCUGACAUCUUUGGAGAAUCAGAAAUUUGACAACUUAAUUAGAAUUGGGAGUCUGAAAAAAUUUCAACGUUUACUGCCGCCAAUAUGUAGAAGUAAUGAAAUAGAACUAGCGUAGCCUCCA